GGCCAACUGAAAGGAAGCCAUACUUACCUGGGACGCCUCUGCCUCCGGGACGGCAGCUAAGAGAUCGGGGCCAACCGCGGCCCCGGGCUAGGCGCAAGUAGGGUGGGCCGGCUUCUGCAUCAGCGUGACAUCACCUCCAUUCAGGGCCCUUAUCGAGCACUCCGCAGCGCUCCCAGGAAACAAAGAAUUGGAAGGCUGAGAAGCUUGGAGAGUGUUCACAAGUCUUCUGACCUGAUGAAAUAUGAAGUAAGCAGAGCCAAGCAAACACUAUGCACAAUAACUACAACAGUGUAAAUGGAAAGAACCAACAGAAAACAAAUGAAAAUGAUUGUUGCAAAAUUAUUAAGAACAAAUAUGAACUCCAAGGAACUAAGAAGAAAGAUACACAUUCUUCCAUUACUUUGCAGAAGUAGGAGAUUCAUCGGUUUGAAACAUUGUAUAUAUUUUUAGCCGUUUUGAUGUAUUGAUUGGUUCCCUCUGCUUCCUUAAAAAAACCAAUAAAACAUUGUUAAAGAA